UACGGCUACCUUGUUACGACUUCACCCCAGUCAUGAAUCUCACCGUGGCAAGCGCCCUCCUUGCGGUUAGACUACCUGCUUCUGGUGGAACCCACUCCCAUGGUGUGACGGGCGGUGUGUACAAGACCCGGGAACGUAUUCACCGCGACAUGCUGAUCCGCGAUUACUAGCGAUUCCGACUUCACGGAGUCGAGUUGCAGACUCCGAUCCGGACUACGACGCGCUUUCUGAGAUUAGCUCCCCCUUGCGGGUUGGCAACCCUCUGUACGCGCCAUUGUAUUACGUGUGAAGCCCUACCCAUAAGGGCCAUGAGGACUUGACGUCAUCCCCACCUUCCUCCGGUUUGUCACCGGCAGUCUCAUUAAAGUGCCCAACUAAAUGAUGGCAACUAAUGACAAGGGUUGCGCUCGUUGCGGGACUUAACCCAACAUCUCACGACACGAGCUGACGACAGCCAUGCAGCACCUGUGUUAUCGUUCCCUUUCGGGCACACCCACAUCUCUGCGGGUUUCAAUACAUGUCAAGGGUAGGUAAGGUUUUUCGCGUUGCAUCGAAUUAAUCCACAUAAUCCACCGCUUGUGCGGGUCCCCGUCAAUUCCUUUGAGUUUUAAUCUUGCGAUCGUACUCCCCAGGCGGUCAACUUCACGCGUUAGCUACGUUACCAAGCCCGUUAAGACCCGACAACUAGUUGACAUCGUU
rnacentral:rRNA from 1 species